CAAGACAUUGGCCACUUACUCCUUGUGAUGGUACUGAACAAGCAGAGAAGGCAGAAUCCCCCCCACUAUGGAUUUCUCACUCCUGUGAACAAAUGUCCACCCCCUUCCCAACUGCAAGAGGACUCACGCUGCUCUCAGCCUGAGGCAGAGAAGCUCUUCAGUAGAAGGCAGCAGCUAUUGCACAGACUCCUACAUGGUCAGAAUAUGGGGAACAAGAGUGAGCCCUCAGCCUUAAAUGUCUUAAAUCUGUCAUACACACCCAAGGCCCAGGGAACAUUUGCAGAAGGAAGGCAGAAAAACAAAGAAACAAACAAACAAAUAGAAAAACAAGAGCAGGAGGACAGGAAGGGGUGUCAGGAACUGCUUCUGUACAGAUCUAGCAUUGCUGUUGAAACCAUGAGCACACAGCAGCUAUGGAUACCUGCAGAAGACUUGGGCCACAGGAGCUCCCAUCUCUGUUGAAGAACUAAAGGCAGAAUCCAGACUUAUGCUAUAUGACAUGAAAGUUGAAGGGCGACCAAUGUCAGGGGAGAAAUGGCACCCAGCCGUGGUGAGGAAGAGAGAAUAUUGGGGCAGAACCCACUACACGUCAGGCGUGUUGCCAAGUGUUGGAGAGGAUAUACAGUUGAAGAAAUUCCCUUUCCAGGCUGAGGCUGCCGAAGCCCAUAAAGAAGGUCAACUAAUGAUGGCACCGCAUGUCAAAAAGAACAUAGGAAA
ensembl:lincRNA Gm30852 predicted gene, 30852